GGCAUCGUGAGGAUUGUGGCGUAGGCAGUUACGUGGCGAAUUGUGUUGCUGGAAUGGCGUCUUGUUAGGUGGUUGAUUGGUGCCCAAGCAGACAAUGAAAGGAAUUACGCUCGGCUCCACGACUGAAGAGCCGAGAAAGUUCAGUCGGUGUUACGACGGUUCCUGGCUGGACAACUAUAGUCUACAGGACUACUGGAAAGGUAAGGUUAUAUAAUAAACGAUAAAUAGUUCAUCAGGUAGAUGCUAGUUAGAACCUUUUAGAUUUGAGGUAGAACAAAUGUCGAAAAGGUGAUUUUUUUUUUAUGUUAUUCCAACCCCACUUUGUGAAAGAUACACUCAGAAGUGAGUACUGUUAGAAUCCCCAUUGAUUCUAAAGAAUAUAAUCUUCACUUCCAUGCUCUGUUUUCAGGAGUCCUUCAGGAACUUGCAUUUAAAGUAGUAGUUGUUACAACCAAGACACUACAAAUUUACAUGGGCAGACUAUUUGAAUGUUAGCACAGAGGGUUAAAUGGUUAAUUAGUACAAGUAUAUACAAUGUAAUUUUCCAUGAACUGUGUACAGCUAGUUUGGACACUUCCAUCAGAUUAUCAAAUACAAUUUUAUGAAAGGAAAUAAGAAGAAAGGAUUUAAAUAUGCUGUCCCUUGUUUGAACAGUUAGUCACUGCUUCUUUGCUAACUGUUACACAUUUGGAAAGCAUUUUUACCUUAAAUUGAAACAAUAUUUCACCAUAAUUUUAUUUCUUACUGGGUAUAUUUAUGCUUAUUCCAGUACAGUUCACUUAUACCUGUUGGAUUUGCUGCCCAUUUCUAUCCUGAAAGUAUAUGUACAAUAUUUUUACUAGCCAAUUGUCUAGAAAAUGUGGGAGCCUCGAUGUGCUGCAGUCCUGUGGGCUUCCACUGCCUGUUAGCAGGGAUAGCUUUGCCUUUUACUGUACUUUUAUGAAAAUGUAGCGUGGGAACUGCCCACAUUCAAGGAAUGGUACCUGAUGCAAUGGCAAGUAAACAGUCGUUGCUAAGCAGUGGUACCUGACCUGUCUCACUGUAACGUUUGCUUGAAUGUGGGAAACUCCCACAGUGGAUUGGUGGUUGUUGGUUCACUGGGCAUCGAUAUCCAACAGUAAAGAAGAGUUUGCAUUUUUUUCUCAUCCAGAUCAUGUAAGAUCUUAUAGGUCAGACAGAAUUGAUCAAAUUUCUGUUUCUGCUGGCUUCUCUUUUGCAUCUUCGUGGUCAAAUUAGAUUGUUGAAUAGUUUGGGAGAUAUACAGAACAUUAUUUAAGCAUGAAAAUUUGAGUCACUUCGUAGAAUCAAAAAUCUAGAUUUAGAGUAUCAACAUUUUAUAUUUUUAGCAUAGAAAUUUUGUAAAUGAAUUGGUGCACUAUAUAUUACAGUGGGACUCAACAAAUUUCAGGCACCAGGCGCAUAUGGUGCCUAUAAAUUUUCGGUUCUCUAGUUUCAAAAAUCCUACUUCAACAGUCUUUGUUUAGCAUUAUUUGGAAUUAAGACAUAUUUGUCAGGUGAGAGCUGAUAAACUCCGUGGCUUUAGUCCGCAAGCGAACUAUACCAGCCGAGCGACCACCGCUUGCUCUCUGUCUGCUAAGUGCAGAGCUGAAGUGUAUU